rnacentral:rRNA from 1 species
GACGAACGCUGGCGGCGUGCUUAACACAUGCAAGUCGAACGGACAGGCCCUGCUUUUGUGGGGUGCUCGAGUGGCGAACGGGUGAGUAACACGUGAGUAACCUGCCCUUGACUUUGGGAUAACUUCAGGAAACUGGGGCUAAUACCGGAUAGGAGCUCCUGCUGCAUGGUGGGGGUUGGAACGUUUCGGCGGUUGGGGAUGGACUCGCGGCUUAUCAGCUUGUUGGUGGGGUAGUGGCUUACCAAGGCUUUGACGGGUAGCCGGCCUGAGAGGGUGACCGGCCACAUUGGGACUGAGAUACGGCCCAGACUCCUACGGGAGGCAGCAGUGGGGAAUAUUGCACAAUGGGCGGAGGCCUGAUGCAGCAACGCCGCGUGCGGGAUGACGGCCUUCGGGUUGUAAACCGCUUUCGCCUGUGACGAAGCGUGAGUGACGGUAAUGGGUAAAGAAGCACCGGCUAACUACGUG